CGGUAAUUCCAGCUCCAAUAGCGUAUACUAAAGUUGUUGCAGUUAAAAAGCUCGUAGUUGGAUUUCUGCGGGGACGGAGCGGCCGGUCGCAACUUGCGACUCGAGCUAGCGCUUUCCCCGCAUCCUGCCGCGAACCGUGCUACCAUUAGCUUGGUGGCGCUGAAGAUCGACUCAAUUACUUUGAGAAAAAUAGAGUGUUCAAAGCAGGCCACACGCCUUGAAUAAGUUAGCAUGGAAUAAUGACUAAGGACUUCAGUUCUACUUUGUUGGUGUUCGGGACUGAAGUAAUGAUUGAUAGGGACAGUUGGGGCGGUCUGUAUUCCAAAGCGAGAGGUGAAAUUCUUAGACCUUCGGAAGACAAACAGCUGCGAAAGCGUUCCGCAAGGAUGUUCCCUUUGAUCAAGAACGAAAGUUGGGGGAUCGAAGACGAUCAGAUACCGUCGUAGUCUCAACUAUAAACUAUACCAGCUAGGGAUCGGUCAACGUUUAAUCAUUCGACUUGAUCGGCACCUUAUGAGAAAUCAAAGCAUCUGGGUUCCGGGGGGAGUAUGGUCGCAAGGCUGAAACUUAAAGGAAUUGACGGAAGGGCACCACCAGCCGUGGAGCCUGUGGCUUAAUUUGACUCAACACGGGAAAACUUACCAGGUCCAGACAUAGUAAGGAUUGACAGAUUGAUAGCUCUUUCUUGAUUCUGUGGGUGGUGGUGCAUGGCCGUUCUUAGUUGGUGGAGUGAUUUGUCUGGUUAAUUCCGUUAACGAACGAGACCCCAGCCUGCUAAAUAGCGCGGCUGAGCUUUGCUCGGUGCGAGCUUCUUAGAGGGACUAUGAUGCGCGAUAGCACAUGGAAGUUUGGGGCAAUAACAGGUCUGUGAUGCCCUUAGAUGUUCUGGGCCGCACACGGGCUACACUGGCGCCUGCAACGAGCAUAUCAGCUGGCCCGAGAGGGUCUUGGCUAAUCUUUUGAACCGGCGCCGUGCUUGGGAUUGACCAUUGCAAUUGUUGGUCAUGCAACGAGGAAUGCCUUGUAAACGCGAGUCAUCAGCUCGCAUUGAAUACGUCCCUGCCCUUUGUACACACCGCCCGUCGCUCCUACCGAUGAAUGUUCCGAUGAAAUUUUCGGAGAGCGCCAGAGAACGGGGCUCCGCCUUGCAGAUCUGGAGGCUCAAAGUCACUUAAAUCUGAACAUUUCGAGGAAGGAGAAGUCGUAACAAGGUAGCCG
rnacentral:rRNA from 1 species